GAUCCUGGUGAUGACAAAAGACAUGGUCAACCAAUCUCAAGGGAAUGAGGACAUGUCCUGCAAUUCUGAAUGGAUU